rnacentral:lncRNA from 1 species
CAUUAAAUGAAACAUCAUGUACCAAUCAUCAUAUGUUGACCAAUAACAUUGAAAGUCAAGGUCAAACAAUCAAAAAUAGAAGUGAGAUGAAGAUUGGAAGUCAAGAAAAGAAUAAAAUAUUUUUGGCAUUUUUUAAUAUUUAAAAUAAACUUGAAUUAAAAUAUUAAAGAAGGGUCAAACUUCAAAAUCACUUCAAAUCAACCUUGAAAGGUCCAAGUGAUUUAUCCUAAGUUCAACAAGGUCAAACAAAGUUUGACAAAAAAUUUCAG